GGACUACUCGGGUAUCUAAUCCUGUUUGCUCCCCACGCUUUCGCGCCUCAGCGUCAGUAAUGGUCCAGUUGGCCGCCUUCGCCACCGGUGUUCUUGCGAAUAUCUACGAAUUUCACCUCUACACUCGCAGUUCCACCAACCUCUACCAUACUCAAGCGUCCCAGUAUCGAAGGCCAUUCUGUGGUUGAGCCACAGGCUUUCACCCCCGACUUAAAACGCCGCCUACGCGCCCUUUACGCCCAGUGAUUCCGAGCAACGCUAGCCCCCUUCGUAUUACCGCGGCGGCUGGCAC
rnacentral:rRNA from 1 species